GUCUAUGGCCAUACUACUCGAGGGUACCAGAUCUCAUUUGAUCUCUGAAGCUAAGCAGAGUCAGGCCUGGUUAGAACUCGGAUGGGAGACCAAAGUAAUCCAAACCUCAAAUGAAG
ensembl:rRNA 5S_rRNA 5S ribosomal RNA